CACACAUUGCGUUCGGCAGUUAAGUUCGCGUUUAGCCCAGAACCUGGGCAGGAGAGACUACGCAGGACACCCGCUGACCGUCUAACAAAGAAGAAACAAUGGCUUCUCAAGGCGCAGAGGUUUGUGGGAAAUGUAGUCUUGAAUCCGGUUGGCUCACGGUGCAGCCGUCUGGGAAGGCUCCGGGUUACAUCUGCGCAUGUGCAGGCCCUGACCCGCUGUCCUGCUCUUGAGCUCCCGGCCCAGGCGGGGCGCUGACGCUGGAGCCCUGGUUGUAUGGCUCUGGGGGGGACUGCGGGGAGGGGGACACAGCGGGGAUUUCCUGAGAGGAGUGGACUUGUGACCCAGAGCGCGGGAGCACCCAGGCCCAGGGACCCCCAGCCUCAGCCCUCAGUGCGGGGCUCCGGGGUGCAGGUGCGGCGCAGCCCGUCGGGGGCGGAGGCCGCGUGCCCGCCCGCCUGCAGCCCGACCCACGACGGGCCCGGGGCGGGGCGGGGCGGGGGCGUGUAUAAUGGCGACCGUGAGCGGCCGGAGAGCGCGGGCGGUGGGUCGGCGGGGAGAACCAGAAAGGCCCGGCCAGUCCCGGCCCUGUACCUGCAGGUGGGGCGACAGAAGGCCCCCGGGUGAGAGUCCAAUUUCUCACCGGACAGGGAGGAUAUUGAGCUUCAGAGCAGAGACAGAAGAGCCCAGAAGGAAGCGGGUCUGCACAGCCCCAAGCAGUUCUUGAUCCUCCUGACAAGAAUGAGCCCGACUUGGUGAUCCUACUACGUUCAGAAGCCAACACACUGUGACAAUGGGGAGUUUGAGCCAUCCUUUAGAGGAGCCAGAGUAUUGCUUUAGAAAACCAGCUGUGACCUUCAAGUUGAAGGAAGGAGAAGAUCCAUGGUUAUUAGAGGAAGAACUUCUAAAUAGGAGCUCCCCAGUACAAAGCUGUAUAUUUUAUUUGUGAGUCCUUCCAGUUGUGGCAUGUGGGACGCUGCCUCAGCAUGGCCUAAUGAGCAGUGCCACAUCUGCACCCAGGAUCCAAACCGGCGAAACCCUGGGCCGCCGAAGCAGAGCACAUGAACUUAACCACUCAGCCACGGGGCUGGCCCUGAAUGUUUUUUAAAGACCAUUUUAAAAGAACAAUAAAAGUUUUGAAUAUCUAUGCAUCAGGACAGUGGUUUUCAACAGAGGGUGAUUUCGCGCACCGUGGGACAUUUAGCAAUGUCUGGAGACAUUUUUGUUUGUCACAGCUAAGGGGGAGAUACUACUAGUAUUUCAUGAAAAACCUAGGAAUGCUGCUAAAUGUCUGGUAAUGUGCAAGACAACCACUACCACCCCCACCACACACCACCAAGAAUUACCUGC
rnacentral:lncRNA from 1 species